AUGGUUCUACCGUGUUCGUGAUGAUUAAAGUAUUUUUUGACCAACACCAACACAUAGGGAGCCUGGACUCUGUCUGCGGCGCAUAUGCCUUUUUAGAAGGACAUGUAAACCAGGCAGGAGGGCACCCACCUGGAUGACAGGGAUCAAAAUGACUAAUCACACGGCAUGGUGGAACAGCA
rnacentral:other from 1 species